GUGCAGGGCAGGGAAGCUCCAGGCAAACAGCCCAGCAAACAGCAGCACUCAGCUAAAAGGAAGACUCACAGAACACAGUUGAAGAAGGAAAGUGGCGAUGGACCUCAUCCCAAAUUUGGCGGUGGAAACCUGGCUUCUCCUGGCUGUCAGCCUGGUGCUCCUCUAUCUGAUGAGAGUCCCCAAAUCAGCGAAGAGUCCACUUACUAAACAGACAUAAGGAAAUGAAGUGUCCUGGAAGAAUUCCUGCCUGAACCUCUCAGGAGCAUUUGAGGACAUUUAUCAAGUAUUCACUCCAGGAUUGGGACUAUGAAGACUUCAGCUGCUUUCAGCUAAUCAUUGAGACUUUUCAGGGGUCUCAGAAUAGUCAGGAAAGGACCUGAUGAGUGAAUGCAAUUACUGAUGUUGGAGUUGCUGUUAUUAUUUAUCGUAUAUGGGACCCGUACACAUGGACUUUUUAAGAGACUGGGAAUUCCAGGGCCCACACCUCUGCCUUUGUUGGGAAAUGUUUUGUCCUAUCGUCAGGGUCUCUGGAAAUUUGACACAGAGUGCUAUAAAAAGUAUGGAAAAAUGUGGGGAACGUAUGAAGGUCAACUC
rnacentral:lncRNA from 10 species